rnacentral:rRNA from 1 species
AACGGACGCUGGCGGCAUGCCUAACACAUGCAAGUCGAACGAGACCUUCGGGUCUAGUGGCGCACGGGUGCGUAACGCGUGGGAAUCUGCCCUUGGGUUCGGAAUAACAGUGAGAAAUUACUGCUAAUACCGAAUGAUGACGAAAGUCCAAAGAUUUAUCGCCCAAGGAUGAGCCCGCGUAGGAUUAGCUAGUUGGUAAG